rnacentral:rRNA from 1 species
UACGUAGGGUGCAAGCGUUGUCCGGAAUUAUUGGGCGUAAAGAGCUCGUAGGCGGUCUGUCGCGUCGGCUGUGAAAACUCGGGGCUCAACCCCGAGCCUGCAGUCGAUACGGGCAGACUAGAGUCCGGCAGGGGAGACUGGAAUUCCUGGUGUAGCGGUGAAAUGCGCAGAUAUCAGGAGGAACACCCGUGGCUAAGGCGGCUCUCUAGUACGGUACUGACGCUGAGACGCGAAAGCGUGGGGAGCGAACAGG